rnacentral:rRNA from 1 species
CCUCGAGAUGAGUCUUCCCUGGGGCUUUAAGCCCCCUGAAGGAACGUUAAAGACUAUGACGUUGAUAGGCUGGGUGUGUAAGUGCAGCGAUGCAUUGAGCUAACCAGUACUAAUGAUCCGUGAGGCUUAACCUU